rnacentral:sRNA from 1 species
AUCAACUUUCGAUGGUAGGAUAGAGGCCUACCAUGGUGGUAACGGGUAACGGGGUGUUAGGGCACGACACCGGAGAGGGAGCCUGAGAAACGGCUACCACAUCCAAGGAUGGCAGCAGGCGCGCAAAUUACCCAAUCCCGACACGGGGAGGUAGUGACAAUAAAUAACAAUACGGGAUUCUUUCGGAUUUCGUAAUUGGAAUGAGUACAGUUUAAACCUCUUAACGAGGAACAAUUGGAGGGCAAGUCUGGUGCCAGCAGCCGCGGUAAUUCCAGCUCCAAUAGCGUAUAUUAAAGUUGUUGCAGUUAAAAAGUUCGUAGUUGAAUUUCGGGUUAGUAGGCUGGUUAUAUGGAACUCGCGCUCUGCAGGUUUAUGUAACUGGUCUUACUAAUUCCUCCUUCCUGAUGAACUGUAGUGCCAUUAAUUUGGUGUUGCAGGGAAUCUGGACUGUUACUUUGAAAAAAUUAGAGUGUUUAAAGCAGGCUAACGCUUGAAUACAUUAGCAUGGAAUAAUGAAAUAGGACGUUCGAUCCUAUUGUUGGUUUCUAGGAUUGACGUAAUGAUUAAUAGGGAUAGUUGGGGGCAUUAGUAUUCAAUUGUCAGAGGUGAAAUUCUUGGAUUUAUUGAAGACUAACUACUGCGAAAGCAUUUGCCAAGGAUGUUUUCAUUAAUCAAGAACGAAAGUUACGGGAUCGAAGACGAUCAGAUACCGUCGUAGUCUUAACCAUAAACUAUGCCGACUAGGGAUCGGAUGAUGUUAAUUUUUUAAUGACUCAUUCGGCGCCUUACGGGAAACCAAAGUGUUUGGGUUC